rnacentral:lncRNA from 1 species
ACCCAGGCCAAGUGUCUUCAGCCAGCAGCAACCAGCAUUUCAUAGUGACCUGAGGAAACAUCUUUCCGGAAAGGUUCAAUCUUUCACAUUUGAAUGAUCCUUAUAUAUCCUCAAACUUUCCAGAAGACAACCUGUGGCUAUGUAUUUUUUCAGUUGGCUUGUGCAGCACUUCUCAAAGUGUGGUCAAUGGACUCCUGGGGAGAUCCUCUGUGGAGUCUGUGAGCACUAUUCGGAAUAGCCAAGACAUGGAAACAAUCCAAGUGCCCAUCAAUUGAUGACUGGAUAAAGAAGAUGUGGUAUAUAUAUAUAUAUAUAUACACACAGUAGAAUACUACUCAGCUAUAAAAAAAGACAAAAUCAUCCCAUUUGCAACAACAUGGAUGGACCUGGAGGGUAUUAUGCUAAGUGAAAUAAGCCAGACUGAGAAAGGUGAACACCAUAUGAUUUCACUUAUAUGCAAAAUAUAAACAAACACAUGGACAAAGAAAAUAGUUCAGUGGUUACCAGGGGAAGAGGGGUG